rnacentral:rRNA from 1 species
CCUACGGGAGGCAGCAGUGGGGAAUAUUGCACAAUGGGCGCAAGCCUGAUGCAGCCAUGCCGCGUGUAUGAAGAAGGCCUUCGGGUUGUAAAGUACUUUCAGCGGGGAGGAAGGCGAUGUGGUUAAUAACCGCGUCGAUUGACGUUACCCGCAGAAGAAGCACCGGCUAACUCCGUGCCAGCAGCCGCGG